AGUGGAUUGGUGUAAUGGUAACAUUUUUUGCUCAUGACUGAAAGUUAAAGGUUCAAGUCCUUUGUCCGCGC
rfam:Pneumocystis murina mitochondrion, complete genome.